rnacentral:rRNA from 1 species
UACGGGGGGGCAAGCGUUGUUCGGAAUUACUGGGCGUAAAGGGCUCGUAGGCGGCCAACUAAGUCGGACGUGAAAUCCCUCGGCUUAACCGGGAACUGCGUCCGAUACUGGAUGGCUUGAGUGUGGGAGAGGGAUGCGGAAUUCCAGGUGUAGCGGUGAAAUGCGUAGAUAUCUGGAGGAACACCGGUGGCGAAGGCGGCAUCCUGGACCACGACUGACGCUGAGUGAGCGAAAGCCAGGGAGCAACGGG